rnacentral:misc_RNA from 1 species
GGCAAUGUGGCUUUUUGUCACCAAAUAAGAAUCCUAAAUGUAUACUUUAAUAUAAACAUAUUGAAAAACCAGAGAAAAACCAGAUAGACCCGUUAGCCAGGCCCAUUUGGUUUUACCAAUAGAAAAUUAGAUAAACUGAUUGGCAGGCUUCUGAAGAUGAAAAAAAUCUAUAAAUGAGGAAAGAAGAUUAAUUGAAGAACCAGUAUUGC